rnacentral:rRNA from 1 species
AAUCAACGCUGGCGGCGUGCCUAACACAUGCAAGUCGAACGAGAAAGUGACUUCGGUCACUGGAUAGUGGCGUCCGGGUGAGUAACACGUAGGUAAUCUACCUUCGGGUGGGGAAUAACUCGCCGAAAGGCGAGCUAAUACCGCAUAAUGCAGCGGCACCUAAUGGUGAUUAGUUGUUAAAGCGGGGGAUCUUCGGACCUCGCGCCUGAAGAGGAGCCUGCGGCAGAUUAGCUAGUUGGUUGAGGUAAUGGCUCACCAAGGCUUCGAUCUGUAGCUGGUCUGAGAGGACGGCCAGCCACACUGGCACUGACACACGGGCCAGACUCCUACGGGAGGCAGCAGUGGGGAAUUUUGGGCAAUGGGCGAAAGCCUGACCCAGCAACGCCGCGUGAAGGAGGAAAUCCUUCGGAUGUAAACUUCAUAAGUAAGGGAAGAAAGCUGCGGAUUGAAUAAAUCCGCAGUCCGACGGUACCUUACGUAAGCCACGGCUAACUACGUGCC